rnacentral:lncRNA from 1 species
GGCAUCGGUUCCCCUUUCCCGCUCCUCUAAGGAUGCUUAGAAUAAUCGAGUGUUUUCUAUGUGGUUCUCCUUGAAGGUCAUAGCAGCAAACCCCGAGAGAGGAUGUAUAAGGAAUACCAAGCCUUUACCAACAAAAAGCGGGAAGGCCCUAGGCCCCAGUAUUCCCUCGCCGAAGUUAGGACUCACAGAAAUAAUAUCCACACGCAUCUGGAGAUCCGAAGUCUCCCGGCUGGGUGCACGAGUCUACCCUGCUUCCGCCUCGUCAGGCCUGUCCUCCUUGGGUUCACACAGCCAUUUACCAGACCUCUUAGUCCCCACGUCGCCGGAGAGAUCGAGCGCCCCAUCCCCACGAGUCAUGCCACGAGCACGAAAAGGUUACAUUAAUGAUGGACAGUGCGCAGCAAGACAGUCAAAAGACUGCCCGAGGGAAAGGUUGCUAUCACUGUCAAGAUCAUUAAGUCGCCGGCGUUUCUUCCUGCGAGCAGCAGCUGCCCUCUGGGGCCGUUUAUUUUCCUUUCUUUCUUCAUCCAAAAUAGUAGAAAUGUCUUUCCCACGGUGACCUGUGAUGGUGGAGAUAUCUUUCCCCCGGCCAACUCCUGAAAGGAAGAGGUGUCUGUGGGCCUUUCUGACUCAACAAUAUUAAGUCCCACAACAAGAACGAAACGCACUGAGUAAAGCAGGUGGGCAUGCACCUGUCCUGGGACACACGGGCUGCACAGCCGCUGUGCUCUCUCUCCUCUCUGUGGGCGUCACUGUGCUGGGCGAUGCAGGCGUGUGAAGAAGAGGCCUCCUUGGUGGAGGGCACCAGGACAGUGUCUGUUCCUCCUUGGGAUGCUGAAUACACUCUAUGUUGAAUGCCUGUGUUUUCUGUCAGUACCAGUUCAUGCCAGACAAGGUGGACGUUUCCAUUUGAAGCAACAUGUUGUUAAUACUUUUAUAUUAUUUUCUAUUUUAGAUUUUAUACAAUACAAGAAAUAAAAGACCAAAUAUCAAAUUG